UCCCUAAAAGAUACAUCGCUAUACAAAUUAGUCCCUUCAGAUUUUGGUUAGAUAAAUAAGUAUUCCUAUACGAAAUUUUAGAGCACGUUAGUCCCGCCGUUCCCUUUCACGACUCAUCAUUGACAUAAAAUAUUGACAUGUUCCGUUAAGGGGUGACUUGAAACGUUAAGUUUGACUGUGGCAAUUUGCCCUUUCAAAGAUGAUGUCGUUUUCUUCUUAAUUUCUUCCAAAAUUUUUUUUAAAAAAAAUUACUGUGCUCAUCUUCUCAGGAGGGGAGAUCUGCCUCCACUGAUAGAGAGAGGGAGGGGGAGGUGGGGGGAUCGGAGCCCCCAUUUCCGGCGACCUUCCUCCCUUGGAUCUGGCCCUCUUUUCCGGCGACCCUCUCUCCCCCCUCGACUGUCUCUCUCCUCUGCUUCCCCGUCCCGCAUCGUCGAAGUUCUACAGUGCUUGCUCUGCUGCGAAGAAGAAACCCACACCGCCGAUGAUUCCCUUCCCGUCCCCUCAUCGCCUUCUUUUCAUGGUUCUCCACCGCCAUUACAGAUUACCUCUGAUCCCACAGCUCAUCAUAUUCAACCCCCACCAUCACUACCACUGCAACCGCAACUCAGCCCAACAGAACUCACAUGCCUCCGCUUCCCCUCGGCGGCCCCGCAACUGCGACGAGGUGUUCAACUACUGGGAGCCGCUCCACUAUCUCCUCUACAAGUCGGGUUUCCAGACUUGGAAGUACAGGUACAGUAGCCCAACAGCUUUCAUCGGAAUCCUCGCUUCCAUAUUCCUUAAGACAGUAGUUUAGUGUGAUUCGAGAGACCAUAUUCUGGGGAUUUUCCUAUGUUUGGUGUUCAAUGGGCGCCUUCUGUGGCAAACGAAGUCUCCUUUGCUCUAUUGUUUGUUUAUCUUAGUUGUUUUCGGACCAGUGUGCUGGUUAUGUAGUUUCUGUAGCUUAGAUCAUCUACUUGGUGUUCACUUGAGCUAAGAUUUAUGGAUCCACGGGGUUGAAUGUCUGUUGUGUUCUUUGCUGCUUUGGCUACAUGGGCUCUUGUGGUGUGCACGAGCCAGCAGUUCGGGAACCUGAACUGCGGGGGCUUUAAGAACACGGAGGAGUUCGAUAUCCAGCUCGAGAUCAGGACUGCGUGAAGAAUCUUCGCCCCUAGACGAGUCCAAGAGGUGCCUAUUGGAAAUUCCUAUUAAUCACCAUCAGGAAAUCGAAGCAGAACUGGAGAUGACAGUGGCACCACCCAAUGGGAGAGUUGUUCUUGUCUUCUGAGCCUGGCAUUCAUGCCGUACAGGAGUUCCCCGCUCCUAUAGUCAUCUCGAUUGUCGGAUUUCAAGACGCGCUCGAGCAUCAAUUUUACAAUCAAAGGAGUUGUUGAACUGUUUCUCGUUCAAAGGCCGUAUGCUCAAUGGCGCGUCCUCCCAAGCGCCAACGAGGCGAUCGAGAAAUUAAUUCAACAGUUUUCUAAAUGAAAGCUGGAGGGUUCUUUUUUUCUUCAUCGAAGACAAAAUACGAGUUUCUUGGUGAAAUUCAUCCUCAAUUUCUUUUAUAAUACACUUGGGCAUGUAAUUCAUGUGAUUGAAAAAUAUGUGCAAAAGACAGUAAACAAAGCACUAAUAUAUGGUUGAAAUUUUAAGGUAGUCGCGUACAAAAUUAGAACACGAGUAGGUAAUCCCCCUAUUUUCAUGAUUCUUUAUUAGGUUUAAUACAUUGCUGUUGAAUUCGUGCCG